AUCGUUCAUCUCCUAACCGUUUGGCUUCACCAUCGCAUCGCAGGAGACGGAAGUAGGGCUUGAACCCGAAGGAACGCGCU
rnacentral:ncRNA from 2 species